rnacentral:rRNA from 1 species
UUGGAGGGCAAGUCUGGUGCCAGCAGCCGCGGUAAUUCCAGCUCCAAUAGCGUAUAUUAAAGUUGUUGCAGUUAAAAAGCUCGUAGUUGAAUUUCGGGAUCAAUGUUUCGGUCAUGCCGUUGGUAUGUACUGAUAUUAUUGAUUUCUCACCUUCUAAAGAACCGUAAUGCCAUUAAUUUGGUGUCACGGGGAAUUAGGACUGUUACCUUGAAAAAAUUAGAGUGUUUAAAGCAGGCUCACGCUUGAAUACAUUAGCAUGGAAUAAUGAAAUAGGACAUCCGAUUCUAUUUUGUUGGUUUCUAGGAUCGAUGCAAUGAUUAAUAGGGAUAGUUGGGGGCAUUAGUAUUCAAUUGUCAGAGGUGAAAUUCUUGGAUUUAUUGAAGACUAACUACUGCGAAAGCAUUUGCCAAGGAUGUUUUCAUUAAUCAAGAACGAAAGUUAGGGGAUCGAAGACGAUCAGAUACCGUCGUAGUCUUAACCAUAAACUAUGCCGACUAGGGAUCGGAUGAUGUUAAUUUUUUAAUGACUCAUUCGGCGCCUUACGGGAA